AGAGCGAACGCUGGCGGCAGGCUUAACACAUGCAAGUCGAGCGGGCGUAGCAAUACGUCAGCGGCAGACGGGUGAGUAACGCGUGGGAACGUACCUUUGGUUCGGAACAACACAGGGAAACUUGUGCUAAUACCGGAUAAGCCCUUACGGGGAAAGAUUUAUCGCCGAAAGAUCGGCCCGCGUCUGAUUAGCUAGUUGGUGAGGUAAUGGCUCACCAAGGCGACGAUCAGUAGCUGGUCUGAGAGGAUGAUCAGCCACAUUGGGACUGAGACACGGCCCAAACUCCUACGGGAGGCAGCAGUGGGGAAUAUUGGACAAUGGGCGCAAGCCUGAUCCAGCCAUGCCGCGUGAGUGAUGAAGGCCCUAGGGUUGUAAAGCUCUUUGUGCGGGAAGAUAAUGACGGUACCGCAAGAAUAAGCCCCGGCUAACUUCGUGCCAGCAGCCGC
rnacentral:rRNA from 1 species